rnacentral:lncRNA from 1 species
AGAAAACUACUAGUGGCCGAUGGAGUUUUAACGAACAAUCAGCAUCAUCAUCUGUCUAUCACAACUUGUGAAGACAACAAAGAUACCCACAAAAUAUAUCUGUAAAUUGAAAAAAGAGAAGACCUGUGUAGUGAAUAGAAGAAGAAAGAUAGAAAGAAAAGGUUGAUGGGAGAGGAAAAAGGCAAGCGAUAACUAACCUGA